rnacentral:lncRNA from 1 species
GGGCCUUGGGAGAGGGGUGCUCGCCAGAUCAGCAAAUCGUUCUUUUUUUUUAGUUUUUAAUUUUAAUUUUUUAAAAAGAUUUUAUUUAUUUAUUUGACAGAGAGAGCACAGCAGGGGGAGCCACAGAGGGGGGAGAAGCAGACUCCCUGCGGAGCAGGGAGCCCAACACCGGGCUGGAUCCCAGGAUCCUGGGAUCAUGACCUGAGCCGAAGGCAGAUGCUCCACUGACUGAGCCACCCAGACGCAGCAUUGCUGAGGACACGCAGGCCUGGCGCCCUGGGCUUGGGGAACGUACAGUCCUCCCGGUGUCCCUGGGUCAACGUGGGCCCGGCCCUGUGACUUCUGCCCCAUGAGGCUCCUCACAAGUCAUCCUCGUGCGCACAAAUCGAGAUCACUGGGAGUGAUCUGCAGAGCCAGGACUCCCCAGACAGGGAGCGCCCCCCCAGCACAACCUCUCACCCCCGUGCAAAGGACCAAGGAGAGAAAUUUCCCGCCUCCAUCUGUCUGAAGAACGUCUUCCAUUUUUCUUCUUUAUUGAGUCACUUGACAUUGAACACUGAGUGAGCUCGAGGUGCAAGUGUGUGGAUAUGACACACUUACACACCGUAACAUAACGGUCCACACAGCGUUUGCUGAUGCCUGUGUCCCAUCACUUCCUCACCUUCCUGUGUGCAGUGGGGACAAGUAAGUCUGGUCUCCCAAUGACUAUGAACUUUAUAAUCCGACAUGCU